rnacentral:tRNA from 1 species
GCCCGAGUAGCUCAGUGGUAGAGCAAUGCUUUCGUAAAGCGGAGGUCACAGGUUCGAGUCCUGUCUUGGGCA